UACGUAGGGUGCGAGCGUUGUCCGGAAUUAUUGGGCGUAAAGGGCUCGUAGGCGGUCUGUCGCGUCGGCUGUGAAAACCUGGGGCUUAACUCCGGGCCUGCAGCCGAUACGGGCAGACUAGAGUUCGGCAGGGGAGACUGGAAUUCCUGGUGUAGCGGUGGAAUGCGUAGAGAUCCGGAAGAACACCGGUGGCGAAGGCGGCCUGCUGGGCAGUAGCUGACGCUGAGGCGCGACAGCGUGGGGAGCAAACAGG
rnacentral:rRNA from 1 species